GAUGGGCAUGGUGGUGCAUUCCUGUAAUCCCAGUGACUCAGGAGGCUGAGGCAGGAGGAUCACAAGUUUCAGACCAGCCUCAGUAGUUUAGUGAGGGCUUAGCAAUUUAGAGAGAUCCUGUCUCCA
rnacentral:sRNA from 1 species